UACGGAGGAUGCAAGCGUUAUCCGGAUUUAUUAGGUUUAAAGGGUGCGCAGGCUGAAAUGUAAGUCAGUGGUGAAAUCCUACAGCUUAACUGUAGAACUGCCAUUGAUACUGCUUUUCUUGAGUAUAGUUGAGGUAGGCGGAAUGUGUAGUGUAGCGGUGAAAUGCAUAGAUAUUACACAGAACACCGAUUGCGAAGGCAGCUUACUAAACUAUUACUGACGCUCAUGCACGAAAGCGUGGGGAGCGAACAGGAUUAGAUACCCGCGUA
rnacentral:rRNA from 1 species